AAUUUUCGAAACAUUUUUCUUUGUUUCCUUCAUUGUUACGCAGUAAACGCAUACGAUUAUGUUGCUGCUUCCCUUCUCUGAUCCUCCGUGAUGGUCUAACGUUUCCCAUAUCACGGAAUCACGAGAAUGGAACCAGUUGGAAAGUGCAAGAAACAAAAAGUAGCAGCCCAUUUACAACUGAUUUCCACAAGUUCGAUUAGAUUCACCCUGGCUUUGCUGCAACGAUGCUGACCGUAGCAACCCCAUUAACGAUGAAUUCCGGUCAUCAACCACCGCGAGGCAAAGUGCAUUGGACGCAGUUUUAACUUCAAAGGCAUGUUGUCAUUUCCACUUGCCAGACGAUUUUUUUUGAAUCUGGCGCCAUUCCAAACUUCCAUUGGGCAAUAUUGAUUUUUUUAUUUCGUCUCGCUAAGAAUAUAUAAGGGAAUUUAACGUUAUCCUUGUAUUUCUAUGCACAAUCGUUUCAAUGCCGCCAGUAUAUGAAACAGGAAAAAAUAAUUAAAUUUGGAAAACCAGCAUCGGCUCGUCUCCUGUUCCAAUAGUUUUCGACUUGUAGGCCGUAAAUUCAUCACUGAAUUGUGUGCUCUUCUUUCUUAACUCUCCCCUCCUACUUCGAACGGACUAAAAAAAAAAAAAAAAAAAGUCAACCCGCCUUUUUACUUGCCGUGUCUCCUUUUUCUGGCUCGUUUUAGCUUUUGAACGAUUUCAAUGGGGGGUCUGGUCUUCGCGAAACGCGGCACAGUCUUUGUGUCAAAAAGGCUGGGCCAUCAGACUGGACUGCAAGUUUCUUAUUCCUUAACGAAGAAAAUGGGAAACGAGCCGACCAACGGGUCCGACUUGUAUCGCGUGUCGAGAUGCUUUUCCGUUUCAAAUUCUCUUUCGCUCCAUCAUCACCUGACUGACUGACCCCAGCAGUGCCAAGCUUAUAAUGUGUAGACGGCCAAAGUUUUUUUCUUUUUCUAGUUUCCUACAGUUGGUUUUUGCAGGCACACUUUCCGCCCAAAGCAGGAACAAAAAAUGAGUUUAAAUAUAUUAAGAAAGAAAAAAAAUUCAGCGGCGGUAUGUUCUUGCUUGAUGACUUCUGACUCCACCCCCCUAUUCAAUCACUUGGUUGUCUUCACCAAACUGUUGAUGUGCCUACCUUUUUCUCUACUUGCAAUCGACUGAAACAUUGCUAGUGAACCCUAUAAUUAUCUAUGGUUCAUUUCGUAUUCAUGAGGCCUCAUUUGGCGACUCCUUAUGACUCCUGCAGUCUCUACUUGUAACCAUUUUUGAAUUCAAAAUGACGUUGCCUACUGCUGCUC